GUUCGGUUAGUAACUUUGAUUAUUCUCUUGUUCUCUGCAUCAUUCAACACAAUCGUCUUCGCUGGGUUAACGUUCGAUAACGAAUCUCUCAAUACCAAAAUAGGAGUAGCGAUUUGGAAUCAAAAGGUGGUAAAAAAUGUAAGGGGUGCAGUAAAGCCCAGUAUCUCACGGCCUGCGCGUCAACGAUCAAGUCCAAGGAGUGGUUCUGAAAACUCUAAUUCGACUCAAUGGGAAAGUUAUGUUGCUAUCAUUGAGGCAUUUGGCAUUUUUUCCGGUAACUAGCUUCAUGUAUUUGACAAUAUGAUCAGUUCAUAUGUGCUCUGUUUCAUAUUUUAAUAAAUUUCUUUUUGAGUGGCACAAUCUAUUCUAUUAAAAUACCAACUUGACCUAUUGAUAUAGGUGUGAUCCAACUAUUUUAAUACAAUUAUUAAAAUAUUUUAUUAAUUAUUUAAAAAAAUAUUAUAAAAAAUCACAAAUAUGACUAAAACACACAAAUAUUAAAAUUAAUUUUUUAAAAAAAUGUAAAACAAAAAAUAUAUCCAUCUAGUAUAACUUUAAAGCUUUUCAUGGGUUGGCCAAAGACUAGUCAAUAGCAAACACAAAUUUGAAACAUUUCACAAAGGAAUAGAUUUCAUAUUUACUUAAUCAGUAGUACCACUAAACAAACAUUGCUAUUAUUUGUUUUCAAUAGUUGUCUCAAAGCUUUUAAAAGCUGAUGUGUCAUUUCCUGGAUUAACAAUUAUGUUACUAUUAGUUAUUUUUUUGCCACACCCAAUGUGGGCGUUCAGUACGUUGAACUCAAGAUCAAUAAAACAAAAAUGGUCACUUAUAUAUAGAACUAUGAAAUAUAUAGUUCUACAACAUUGGCUUGUUUUUGAAUUUGCCAUAACCUGAAGAAGAUAUCCAGGUUGGUUGUUUAUUAUUGUUCCUGAACAAUGAUAACAAAAAAAAAAAAAA